rnacentral:lncRNA from 1 species
AAAAAUUAAAUAUCUGAUUAGUAUUUUAAUAUUGAUUACAUGUUGAAUAAUGUUUUCAAUAGAUUCGGUCAAAGAAAAUAUUCAAAUUAAUUUUAUCAGUUUCUUCUUACUUUUUUAAUGUGGCUACUAAAAAAAUCUGAAAUAAAGGCAGGACACAGUGGUUCAUGCCUGUAAUCCCAACACAUUAGGAGGCCAAGGCGGAAGGAUCACUGUGACCAGGAAUUUGAGGCUUCAGUGAGCUAUGAUCCCACCGCUGCACUCCAGCCUGGGUGACAGAGUGAGACCCUAUCUCUUUAAAAAAGAAGAAAAGUAAAGAAAAUUUAAAAUUAAACAUAUGGCUCUUUUAAAAAAUAAAAUUACAUAUAAACUCUCAUUAUAUUUCUAUUGGACAAUGCCAAUCUGGACAUUACAUCACUUCCUGAGACUACUCUGUAUGAAAAUGAGCUAUGCCUUCUGUGCUGUAUACUAACUGAUUAUGUUUAGGGUAUAAUAGUCUGUGUAUUAUAAAGGACUGCAUCAUAAUUUCAGGAAUUCAGUAUUUUGUCAUGAAUUUCAGCAGUUCACUAUGAAAGUAGAAGUGAAUUUUACCUGCAUCUGUCUCAGUUGGAGCUGGGAAGAGUAAGGUGGUGAAAAGUCCAGUAUUCCUGGAUCUGUGUGAGAUUGCCUCAUUGAGGCAUCUUACUCAUAAUCUCUUCUGUCACUAAAGAGAAUCAUGAGCCAAGUGAUAGCGUGAGAACCCCUACAACAGUCUUUCCAUUUUGUAGUUUCCCUGUCCACUAAAAGAGAGAACUCUAGAAGGAAUGGAACAAAAAUAAAGGGUAAAACAUUAAAGGAGUGUAAAUAACUCUCCAGGAAUUACACUGUAUUUGAUGGUGAAUUUGAUAGGAGUCCCACAUUGUCACCUAGGAUAAUUUCUCCCUCUUGUUAAUUGCUGACAUUUAAAGACAUACAGAACUCUUUUAACUUUUUAUUUUUCUAAAGACAAUAUCCUAAUAUAUGAGGUAUUGUGAAUUAUU